rnacentral:rRNA from 1 species
AAAGAAAGCGUAAUAGCUCACUGGUCGAGUCGGCCUGCGCGGAAGAUGUAACGGGGCUAAACCAUGCACCGAAGCUGCGGCAGCGACGCUGAUGCGUUGUUGGGUAGGGGAGCGUUCUGUAAGCCUGCGAAGGUGUCUCGUGAGGGAUGCUGGAGGUAUCAGAAGUGCGAAUGCUGACAUAAGUAACGAUAAAGCGGGUGAAAAGCCCGCUCGCCGGAAGACCAAGGGUUCCUGUCCAACGUUAAUCGGGGCAGGGUGAGUCGACCCCUAAGGC